UACGUAGGGGGCAAGCGUUGUCCGGAAUCAUUGGGCGUAAAGAGCGUGUAGGCGGCCGUACAGGUCAGCUGUGAAAACUCGAGGCUCAACCUCGAGACGUCGGUUGAAACCGUACGGCUAGAGUCCGGAAGAGGAGAGUGGAAUUCCCGGUGUAGCGGUGAAAUGCGCAGAUAUCGGGAAGAACACCAGUGGCGAAGGCGGCUCACUGGCCCGUUACCGACGCUCAGGCGCGACAGCGUGGGGAGCAAACAGG
rnacentral:rRNA from 1 species